UACAGAGGUCUCAAGCGUUGUUCGGAAUCAUUGGGCGUAAAGGGUGCGUAGGCGGCGCGGUAAGUCGGGUGUGAAAUCUCGGAGCUUAACUCCGAAACUGCAUUCGAUACUGCCGUGCUUGAGGACUGGAGAGGAGACUGGAAUUUACGGUGUAGCGGUGAAAUGCGUAGAUAUCGUAAGGAAGACCAGUGACGAAGGCGGGUCUCUGGACAGUUCCUGACGCUGAGGCACGAAGGCCAGGGGAGCAAACGGG
rnacentral:rRNA from 1 species